CAUCAUUCAUCCUAAGAGAUUUAUAAGGGAGAAAAAAUAUUAGUAAGGGGAGAAAUGAAUAGUCAAAUGGAGCACCUUCAAUCAAAAAAACCCAGCUCCAAUGUGUCUCUUACAAAGCAUGAACUUGUCAUCUCCACCGUAGGACGUGUUGAAGUAUACACCGAGAGCACAACGCGAGAAUUAAAAGCCAAACCUCCAACACCAACUAUCAAAGCUGGAAGAAAUGGCCAACUUCACAGCUCGCAAGCUUGACGAAACUUGACAAACUUCUGUUGCAUACUUGCAUGCAAUAAUUUAAGUGUCAUUGAUAUUAUGAAAAUUCCAACUAAAAAUAUUAUUUUGAUCAACUUUGUAAUAUACUCCGUAUUAUGUAACAAUUUAUAUUUUGUUUUUGAUUAGUCUUCUUGAUAAGUAGUUAAUACAAGUAAUUAUUAAGUGCAUGAUAUGUUCGUUUAACAUGUACUCCAUAAUAGAUCUUGAUUUCAGUGUGGAGAGAUGGAGAUCGAGAAUAAAUUUGAACUGAUAUGAUGUGAUUGUAAAAUAGUUACGUAACAUAUUACAUUUGAUGGGAGUGUUAUGUGAUUAUCUAUAUAUGUGAGUACAUCAUCUGUCUAUUGAAGCUCUUGUUAUUA